rnacentral:sRNA from 1 species
AAACAUCAGCAGCAAAGACAUUAAUGGUUAACAUUUUUUAGUGAAAGCAAAUUAUAUUUUUGAUACAUUAUUUGCAUAUUUGAAUUACAUUUUAGUUAAAUUUUAGUGUUGAAUGCAAUAUACUCUAGAAUCGCAACAUACUUCCUUACUUCCUGCUGUAGUGGACAAAACAUUAACAUCAUUUAGUCCUAUAGAUCUUUCAUGUAGUCAUCUGUUUUCUAGGAGACUUUGAUGUACCAUCUAGCAGAGAAGAUGUGGACAGAGACAGUUUCUGGAACCAAUGGCUGAGAAAUGAAAUCCAUGUUCUGUUUAUUGAGGCUCUUCAGGCUUUUAAGACUAGAGAGGAUCUGACACCAGUGGAAGCUCUAAUUCAGUAUUUGCAGUUCAUUCCACUUGAAGGAGAGGUCAUGGCUUUUUUUAAACCAGUGGCAUCACAGAUUUUAGAUCAACUGAGAGCC